rnacentral:lncRNA from 1 species
ACUUUUCAAGAACAAUUUACAACACCUUCGAAAGGUGUGUUCUUGACACUUGCAAGACAUUUCUUGCAAAUACCCCUUCCAAUGUCCAUCCUUUCAUAAAGAAAGUUUGUUCCCUUGGAGUUUAUUUCGCUUUUUUCAUUUGACUUCUCCUUUGACUACAAUAGUCAUGGUCCCUAAACUCUCACUAUCUAUCUUGAAACUCAUUUCAAUUGUGUUAUACACAUCAAACGAUUUGGAGAGUGUGUGGUUAUUGUUCACUAUAUAGUUUACAAUAAACUUAGUGAACCAUUUAGAUAGGGACACAAAGGUGAAGUCCUUGCCUAGUUUCCAUUUCUAGAAGUGGUUUAACACUUCAACACUCAAUGAUUCAAAAUCAUCAUAAGUCCAUGUUGAUGGACUAUUUUU